rnacentral:lncRNA from 1 species
UGUUGUAAAGAAGAUUUCCAACAAGACCAUACACAAAGACAAGGUACAUACAAAAGAAAGUAGAAAAUCCAAGAAAGUAGAUUUCAACUAUUCUGCUGUUUCAUCUGCUUGCUGAAACAGUUGAAAAUCCAAGAAAAUAGAUUUCCAAGAAAGUAUGAGUAUAGAAGCAUGUUUGAGCUUCUUUACAAACUUUUUCUGCAGACUUAAACCUUCUUUACAACUGAAAGUAAUGCAACAAAGUAUCACUGGGGAACCAGCAGAACAGUUUCAUUGGGGAACCUUCUUUACAACUGAUAAAGAAACAGCAGAAGAGUUCCCUCAUGGUACUAUUCCGAGACCUUUGUAGUUGCUAAGAUACUGGAGAAGGAAAAUUCCUGAGUCAUACCUGUACAAAAAAAGAGAGACAUGGAAAUUCCAGUCAAUUCAAAAUACUUUCUAUCUUUUAUUGAUAGUAUAGAACAAAUAAGUUGUUCACCACUCAUAUAAAAGCACAUGGGAGAGUUCCAAAAAAGAUAGAGAAGGCACCUGAAAUUGACCUUCGAAGCUGGUACAAAUCUCAACUCAAAAUUCCCUAUGUUAAAAGUAGUAUUUCCGUAUGUAGCAGAAAACAAAGCCUUGAAGUUGUAGAUCACAGCACUAAAUGCAGGCAGAAAUGCAUCGCCACUGUAGUACGGGUUCAUGAUGUCAAAACAUUCCGCUCUAAAGUUAGCAACGAUUAAUAUAAAUUGUUUUUCUUUGAAUACAGGCAUUUUUACCUACAGAAAUGUAGAUAGGAUAAAAAUAUUAGGCUAAUCUCUGACCAAAAUAAAAUUCUAAUGAAAGCACUUGUAACAAAGAAACCUUUUUUUAGAACUAUAACAAAGAAACCUUGCUUACCAAAGAAGCAUUCAAUAAACUGAACCCGACAGUACUUUCCUGUAAGAUUAGUUUGUUUGCGAUCUGAAUGAUUUAGCAUAGGGUUCAUUAACUUCUCCUACAUGUUUGUUUCCCAGGAAUUGAUUGACAGUUAGAACAAGGACAAGAUGGUUGAAAUUGAAAAGGAAAACUGAUGUAAAGAAGACAAAAUAUAGGCUCAGCAUUUCAUCAGUGCUAACUAUCUGUUAUUCACUGUAUGGUACGAGGCCUUUUCUUCCUCGGUUGAGCUGGUCUUUAUUCUUUAGUUUUGAAAAACAGGCAAAAACAUGAGGAUUUAUCCAACCACCAGUCUAAGGAUAAAGUGAUGGUUUUCUGGUCUACCCAAACUCCUUCAAUCUCAAAUAUCCUCUGGCUGUUAAUGGCAGAAGAGCAUCAUGAAUAAAAAUUUAAAAAGCCAUCAGAAAACAGUUUAUAAAAUCAUACAUUUGUUCGUGCUUGAAUCAUGUGGAAUAGAUGACAUUUCUACAUAUGCUACUUAAUGGCAGAAACAUUUUUCAAGUAUCACGGAACAUUAUUUCGUUUUUGAAUAACUCAGCAAACAAUAAUUACAAAACAUUAUUUAGGGGUCAAAAAAUAUUGAACAAACAAUAUUCAUGGAACAUUUCGAAAUGAACAUUAUUAUGGGACAUUAUUCAAGUAUUGAGGGAACAUUAUUCAGUGAACAAUUUCCAAGGAACAUUAUUUACGAAACAUUAUUGAACGGAAAGGAACAAUUUUGUAGGGAGCAUUAUUGGCGGAACAUUAGUUAGGGAUGAAAAAAAUGAGUGAAAAACUUUAUUGAAGGAACAUUUCGAAGUGAACAUUAUUAGGGGACAUAAUUCAAGUAUGUAGAGAAACAUUUUCCAAGGAACAACAUUCAAGUGUUAUUCAAGGAACAUAAUUCAAGUAUUUAGGGAACAUUAUUUGGUGAACAAUUUCCAAGGAACAUUAUUUAGGAAACAUUAUUGAAAGGGGCAUAAUUUAGGGAUCAAAUAUUCAAGGAACAAUUUUGUAGGGAACGUUAUUUGGCGGAAUAUUAUUUAGGGAACUAUUCCCAAGGAACAUUAUUUAGGAAACAAAUAUUAAAGGAACAAAAUUGUAGGGAACAUUAUUGGAGGCACAAAAAAAUUUGAGCGAAAAACUUUAUCAAAGGAACAUUCCCAACAUAACAUUAUCAGGGAAACAUUAUUCAGGUAUUUAGGGAACAUUAUGUAGAGAACAUUUUUGAAGAAACAUUAUUUAUAGACCAAAUACUGAAGAAACAUUAUGUUUCCCUAACAUUAUUAGAGAAACAAUUAUUCAAGUAUUUAGGGAACAUUAUGUAGAGAACAUUUUUGAAGAAACAUUAUUUAUAGACCAAAUAUUAAAGGAACAAUUUUGUAGGGAACAUUGUAGAAGGAACAAUUUGAAGUGAACAUUACAUAAAUUAGGGAAACGUUUUUCAAGUAUCAUUAUUUAGCGAACACUAUUUGAACAAAAGGGUCCAAAAUAUUGAACAAACAUUAUUCAAAGGAACAUUUCAAAAUGAACAUUAUUAGGGAACAUUAUUCCAGUAUUUAGGGGACAGUUUCGAAGGAACAUUAUUUAUGAAACUAUGUUAGUACUUAAAAGGGAUUGCUAGACAAGUUCCGCUUUUGUGUGUGUGCCCAAACGAAUAAGAGCUAAGCAACACAGAGGACAAGGACACCAUGAAUUAUCAUGUUAUGAUAAUACUUGCAAGGAAAUGAUACAGAAGUAUGGUAGAUGAAUGACACCAUACGACAAAAUCAUUCUUAACUAACUAUGUCCACGCAAAAUUCCGCAAUUAACCACAAAAUUCUUGUCUGUAUAAUUUCACAAAUAUGGUGUGAAAAAUAUAUUUGGUAGUACUGCUCCUAGAACAACAGAGGAAAUUACCUAAAACACCAGAACACUCUACUGUGCAAGAAAAGGACUAUUCAGGGCAUCAAAUGCAAAUUAAAGAAAACUUUUCAACAUUAAAAAAACGAAGUGGAGCGGGUAGGAUGCAACAUAUGCAUCGUUUAUCAAUACAAACAUGUGAAUAAAUUCAUGGCCUAGCAUUUACAAAACUACUCCAGCCUAUAAUAUGGAACAAGCGACCUAAAUGUUAAUAGAUGCGUGCUUAUCAACAGCUGAAUAGAAGAAAGCCUAAUACAUGCUAACAAGUCUCCAGAACUAAUCCCGUUGAUGCUACAAAAUUCAUAAAAUAAACAUAACAUUUUUAAUACAUAGAAAAACUUCUACAUCAACCUACACAAACCACCCUAUCAUCAUCAACAAACAAAAACAAAAAUCGCAAGGCCAAGUGCCAGAACACACAACCUCCUAACAACAGCAUGUUGAAUCAUACCCCUGAAUCCGAAAUCUCUGAACACAACCCCUUGUCUAAUCUCAGAAACAUCCAAAUCAAAUAAAAAACGCUCCACCACUACAACCAAAGCCUCCUACAAACCCUAGCAACACUAGACCAGCGCUAAAACGGGAAGAAAAAUCAUGGGCUUCAUCGCGCGGUACCACACACAGAGCAAGUAACAUAACAGGGGAAUUUGGGCGCGUUUACCUUGUCGACGCCGAGCUUGACGGGGACCUAGACGAUGCUGACCUUGACGGAACCCUAGAUGAUGCCGACCUUGUCGGAAUCCUAGACGACGCCGACGCCAGAGACACUGACGACCUGCAAAUAAACAUCCAACGUGACGAAGUCAGCCAGAUCUGAUGCGGUGGCUCGGAUGAGAAGGAAGCACAGGGGCCCGGCGGCUCCUUACGAGGGCGGCGGUCUCUUGCCGGAGUAGGAUCCCGGAGGAAGAAGCAGGUGAAGAAGCAGCCGAACGACGGAGGAAAAGGGGAUCCAGGCACGAGGGAGGAAGGGAAAGCUUCUCUAUAGACAACGAAC